AAGACUCGAAGGCAAAGCCGAAGGGACGAUCAGGACGGGAGAUAAAAUGAAACCGGAUUUGCCUCGAUCGGAUUUUAUCGGGUCCGAUGGUUUGCGGUCCAACUGGCCGGUUCACUCGAAUUUUAUCGAUUUUUAAGCGCAUCUGGUUCAAUUAGGCAACCGGUCCGGUCCCAUGGCUGGAUCAUCAGGUUUUCGGAUGGACCGGUCGGGCCGGGCCGGGCCGGGUUUAACAUUGCAUAAAAGGACUCCGGUUGCAUGGGCCCAAUCGGAAGUGCACAACAGAGACAAUAACGCUUUACUUCCAGCAGCAUAGGGCGUGGACCCUAAUUUGUGAUAGCGUGGCUCAAUCAAAAGUGAGUAAUGGAAUUGGUAGC
rnacentral:lncRNA from 1 species